rnacentral:rRNA from 1 species
UACGGGGGGGGCAAGCGUUGUUCGGAAUUACUGGGCGUAAAGGGUCUGUAGGUGGCCAAUUAAGUCAGACGUGAAAUCCCUCGGCUUAACCGGGGAACUGCGUCUGAUACUGGAUGGCUUGAGAUUGGGAGAGGGAUGCGGAAUUCCAGGUGUAGAGGUGAAAUGCGUAGAUAUCUGGAGGAACACCGGUGGCGAAGGCGACAUCCUGGACCAACACUGACGCUGAGGAGCGAAAGCCAGGGGAGCAAACGGG